AAAACCAACAACUGAUGCAUCGUCUCUUUCUCUCUCUCAAAACCGUAAUCGAUCGAAUCAUCGUAAUUUCUCCUCCUGCAAUCGAUCGAACCUAGUGGUCAAUAGUUCCUUGAAGAAUCAUCAAGUUCUUGUAGCGGCGGUGGCAUGGUGUUCUGGUGAGCCAUUGGUUAUGGAGGAAGUUGUAGUGAGUCCACCUCAACCUCUUGAGAUCAGGAUUAAGUGGUUUGUACAUCUCUCUGUCGUAGUGACCUCUCUGCUUGGGAGUCUCAGUCUCUUUUGCCACGAAUUUUUGGUCAUGAAGCUGCACGGUAAGUUGCUUUUGUUCAUAAUAUCAUUUUUUUAAAAUUCCCUCAAGGUUCCCUCAGGGUUCACACGGCUCAAGCCAAAAAAAUUCCUCCAUGGGAAAUCAAUCACGUGGCCAA